GCGUGUUUCGCAUCGCGGGUUAAAGCGCCACGACUAUCGUAUAUAUACGAUACAAUCAUACAUAUAUGUAUAAAUAACGAUACAUACCCACAUGUAUGAUACGCGUAACGCAGUGCAGUGAGAGAAAUUUAUCCGCGUUGUGUUUUAACAGAUGCAUACGUGUGUACUUUUGUACAUAUUUAUGCAUGUGUACAGUAUGAAUGUGUGCACGCACACGUGAUUCAUGCAUGUAUAAUAACGUGCACAUUAUAAAACUCACGAGAGUUACGCAAGUGCCUGACGUACCGCGGUUCUGUGUUUGCAAUUUUAAUUUUCCUUGAUUCGUUCGCCAAGAAGCCCCGAAGCAGCUGCGCAUUGGAUUUAUUUAAUUUGUGUAUUUUUAUACAUAUGUAUGUGUAUUACACGAUGUAUAUAUGCGUACGUAAUUUGGGAUUAUCAUCACGUCGCUGUCAUUACGAUUAAGAUGAUAACGAUGGAUGCUGCAUACGGGACGAGAUCGUAGAGGGUGGAGGAGGUGUGCCGCGUGUAUCGCUUGUCGACACUUCUGACAGGAUCAGGAUUAUAAUAAUAUACACGCUCUGACCUUCGACCGGUGAGAAAGAGGCGAUACGAGGCUUUUGUCUGCUGCAGCUCGGGGAGCACUUUGUACUACCAUGGAUAACGCAUGAAGGAUAAAUCGGCUCGGAAACUCGAAUUUUUCGGCAUGAAAAUAUCCGUACCAGCGAUUUUAAUGAACGAGAAAUGGAGAUAGUCAAAAGCCGGCUGAUCGCCAUGAGGAUGAUCAUGCGAGCUGUUAUCUGUUGGUACUGCUGCACAUACUGUUCGGGACCCUUUUAUACAAUCCACAACAACACCAAGAAGGAGGAACAAUGGCGGCGCGUGUAAUGUCUUCGCCUCUCCGACUCUUAUCUCUCGGGUUGAUUAUUGGACCGAAUCGAAUGAGCUUAAUGGCUGAACUUUCGACGACGAACCGAUGCCCGCGUCGUUUUCCCGAGGAAUAAAACAGACUCUGUGUGUAUGUGUCGACCAUCCGGCAAAUAAUCGAUAAUUAUAUACCGUGCGAACAUCAACGCUGUUAAAAUGGAGUUGGGUUGGCGGUCGUCUGUUGCGAUAUAAUCGAUGUAGACACACACGACGACGGUCUGUGCGCGGUCAUACAGUGUAUUAAUUAUCAACACGCACAGUCCUGCACACACAAUAUUACACAUUCGUGGAAGCGAAUCGUACAUGAGUCGUUCUUCUGAGUCAGAAACUCUGUCACUGACCGUCGGAAAGGAAGAAGGCGGCGACGAUGACUAGCCACCUUGAAUCGCCUUCUUGGUUGCCUGCAAUUGAGUGAAAAAAUUCAUGAAUUUUACCAGAGAUCCACCAACCUUUCCUCCUCGCUAUCUAUCAGCAACUACGAUGAAGCAGUCCCGCGUGCCUUGGACUUGAAUGACCGAGUGACCGGCGAUGAAUGAGUCGUCGGAAACUAGCACAACAAACCCACUCUCGCUUCGCAUUCCGAGGCAUAAAUCACCCGGACACGUGCUCAAGUUCGCGUAUACACGCCUGUGUCCCACGCGCCAUUAAACAACAACGCAUCAACGGGACUUCCCCGCUAUACGGCUCGCCAGUGUCAGAUAUAUAACUAGUUCGAAAAUAAAUUUUUUCAGACCGAAAUCUCUGAUGUGAGCAGCCAACUUUUUCCCAACACAUUCCAUACUCUCCUCACCUUAUACCACGCUGUAUUCAUAUAUCUGUAUACAUGUAUACUCUGUGCUGUGUAAACUCCUGUAACCUCUGAGAGUCGAAAUAAACUAUAUAGAAAGAAUUUUUUG
rnacentral:misc_RNA from 1 species